rnacentral:rRNA from 1 species
AUACGGAGGAUGCGAGCGUUAUCCGGAUUUAUUAGGUUUAAAGGGUGUGUAGGCGGUAUUUUAAGUCAGUGGUGAAAUCUUUCAGCUUAACUGAGAAACUGCCAUUGAUACUGGAAUACUUGAGUAUAGUUGAGGUAGGCGGAAUAUGUAAUGUAGCGGUGAAAUGCAUAGAUAUUACAUAGAACACCGAUUGCGAAGGCAGCUUACUAAACUAUUACUGACGCUGAUGCACGAAAGCGUGGGGAGCGAACAGGAUUAGAAACCCCAGUAGUCC